AGGACGAACGCUGGCGGCGUGCUUAACACAUGCAAGUCGAACGGGAUCCGCAAGGAUUCAGUGGCGAACGGGUGCGUAACACGUGAAGAAUUUGUCCAACGGCGGGGGAUAGCCGGCCCAACGGCCGGGUAAUACCGCGUACGACCUUUGAGGGGCAUCCCUCGAUGGUGAAAGCCGCAAGGCGCCGAUGGAGAACUUCGCGGCCUAUCAGCUAGUUGGUGAGGUCAUGGCUCACCGAAGGCGACGACGGGCAGCUGGUCCGAGAGGAUCGACCAGCCACGAUUGGGACUGGACGAC
rnacentral:rRNA from 1 species